CACGUAGGGCGCAAGCGUUGUCCGGAAUUAUUGGGCGUAAAGAGCUCGUAGGCGGUCUGUUGCGUCCGCUGUGAAAACUCGGGGCUUAACCCCGAGCCUGCAGUGGAUACGGGCAGACUAGAGGUAGGUAGGGGAGAAUGGAAUUCCCGGUGUAGCGGUGAAAUGCGCAGAUAUCGGGAGGAACACCAAUGGCGAAGGCAGCUCGCUGGGACGUUACUGACGCUGAGACGCGAAAGCGUGGGGAGCAAACAGGG
rnacentral:rRNA from 1 species